GGAAAGAUGGCUGAGCUGGUCUAAGGCGCACGACUGGAAAUCGUGUAGGGCCCUGAAAGCCCUCGAGGGUUCGAAUCCCUCUCUUUCCGCCA
rnacentral:tRNA from 5 species